rnacentral:rRNA from 1 species
GCGCACCAGGCGCGAAACUUUACAAUGUGCGAAAGCACGAUAAGGGAACUCUGAGUGCCUCCUAAGGAGGCUGUUCAGGUGUCUAAAAGCACCUGAAGGAAGGGCUGGGUAAGACCGGUGCCAGCCGCCGCGGUAACACCGGCAGCCCAAGUGGUAGCCACGUUUAUUGGGUCUAAAGCGUCCGUAGCCGGCUGGGUAAGUUCCUUGGGAAAUUUGGCUGCUUAACAGUCAAGCUUUCAGGGAAUACUGCCCGGCUUGGGACCGGGAGAGGUCAGAGGUACUCCAGGGGUAGGGGUGAAAUCCAUUAAUCCUUGGGGGACCACCGGUAGCGAAGGCGUCUGACCAGACCGGGUCCGACGGUGGGGACGAAGGCUAGGGGCGCGAACCGGAUUAGAUACCCCCGUAGU